rnacentral:rRNA from 1 species
AACGAACGCUGGCGGCAGGCUUAACACAUGCAAGUCGAGCGGGUGUAGCAAUACAUCAGUGGCAGACGGGUGAGUAACACGUGGGAACCUUCCUAGGGGUACGGAACAACUCAGGGAAACUUGAGCUAAUACCGUAUACGUCCGUGAGGAGAAAGAUUUAUCGCCCUUAGACGGGCCCGCGUCGGAUUAGCUAGUUGGUGGGGUAACGGCCUACCAAGGCGACGAUCCGUAGCUGAUCUGAGAGGAUGAUCAGCCACACUGGGACUGAGACACGGCCCAGACUCCUACGGGAGGCAGCAGUGGGGAAUCUUGGACAAUGGGCGCAAGCCUGAUCCAGCCAUGCCGCGUGAGUGAAGAAGGCCUUCGGGUUGUAAAGCUCUUUUGUCAGGGACGAUAAUGACGGUACCUGAAGAAUAAGCCCCGGCAAACUUCGUGCCAGCAGCCGCUGUAAAAC